rnacentral:rRNA from 1 species
UACAGAGGGUGCGAGCGUUGUCCGGAAUCACUGGGCGUAAAGGGCGCGUAGGCGGCGCGGUAAGCGUGCGGUGAAAGCCCGGGGCUCAACCCCGGGUCGGCCGUGCGGACUGCCGGGCUGGAGCACUGUAGAGGCAGGUGGAAUUCCGUGUGUAGCGGUGGAAUGCGUAGAGAUCCGGAAGAACACCGGUGGCGAAGGCGGCCUGCUGGGCAGUAGCUGACGCUGAAGCGCGACAGCGUGGGGAGCAAACAGG